UGCGUAGGCGGGCUAAUAAGUCAGUGGUGAAAUAUUCCGGCUCAACCGGGAGACUGCCAUUGAUACUGUUAGUCUUGAGUUCGGCUGAGGUAGGCGGAAUGUGUAAUGUAGCGGUGAAAUGCUUAGAUAUUACACAGAACACCGAUUGCGUAGGCAGCUUACUAGACCGACACUGACGCUGAGGCACGAAAGCGUGGGGAGCGAACAGGAUUAGAUACCCUGGUAGUCC
rnacentral:rRNA from 1 species